rnacentral:rRNA from 1 species
AUGCGGCCCCACGAGGAAGAAGACAAAGUAGUUGUCGGAAGAUCCGGCCCGACUGCUCAGCAGUCGGCCCGAAUCUCGGGGGCUACAUCUAGUGGGUGCGCUGGCGCGCCCCCACGGAAGAUUGCAGACAAGAGAAGAGUUUUGUCCGGCUUCGAGCAGCCGACAGAAGAGAAAAAGAAGAAGAUAGGCGCUGCAAGAUGCAUCGCCGCCUGGCUGGUCGAGCCUGACCGGCCGAAACCCCUUCGAGCACCCGGAGGCUCAACCUCCGUCUCGACUACACGAAAAUCAAUCCAUUUGGGGUGGGAGAUGAAAAAAUCAGGAGUGAAAACAAGGCCUUCAGAGCAGACAAUGCUACCUGUCGAAGCAGAUCUCUUGUUGGAUCCCGAUAGCUCCUCAGAGAUGGAUUCAGAGACUCAUGACCAGUCCUAUUCACCCACCGAGGUGUAUGCUCUAACUUAUCAUGGUUAUAGUGCUCACAUCAUGCAUAUGGUGUCUUGCAUUGGAUAG